GGAAUAUUAUAGAAACCUUGUUUUCUCAAGAGGACAAUGGGAGUGUAGGCUGCUGGAAGCAAUUUUAUUUCGUUUUCUUUGAGUUCUCAUUAUUAAAUAAUAAAGCAUGAUCUUCUCUGCUUUAGCAAAUCAGUGUCAUCAAAUAAGCCAGCAUAAUUAGACUCACGGAUUCCAGCCUGAAUUUCUGGUCAGCAAAAAUGUUAAAGCCAAUCAAAACCAAAAUACUCUCAGUUCGCUUUUCUGAACUGUAACACUAAUAUAAUUUUUUUUUCUUUUCAGGAAGGGGAAUGUUCUUGUUUAUGGUUUCCUUUGAUCAAUUACCUCAGAUCAUUCCCAAUGCUAAAAAAAAAUAGUCUUGACUGGAAUCCUGCUUCAGCAUUUGGGACUGAUGCUGAAAGUAGUCUAGAAGCAUUGGAUCUUUCGCGUGUUUUGCGACGGUGCGCCUGAGUCACUUAUGCUCUGGGUGACUAAAGUUCUCGGCCCUUCUCUCGAAGCACCUGGAAGGACUGGAUGCAAUGCCGCUGGCUGGGAGGACCCUCCCUGAGCUCUCCUGGGUGGUGACAUCCACCAUCUUUGAACUUCCCAAGGGGUGUCUCAGCUGCUGUCCUGGAACGGCGCUAGAAGAGGAAGGAGGCUGGUUUCCCAUUGCUGGAAUUCGAAUUUCCAAUCUUGGGUCUCCGGCUUUAUUUACCCAGAAACCGUGGAGCAGAGUGUUCUACAAAGGAGGCCAUCACAGCUGGAUGUGUUCCACACAAGCCUCUGUCCUGUGAGUCAGGGCUGCAGACGGGUGAACCAGGUCGUGUUGGAUGCAGGUGCCAGACAAGGGCACAGCCUUUCCCUUACCUGCACAUCUCCUUCAGGAGCCCCAUCAGGCUGCGGGCUGGUCUUGGCCACAGUUGUUGUGCCAGGUUGAGGUAGCAGGUUCUUGAGGUCCACAGGAUGAUUCCGAGAAGACCCAGUGACAUGUCCAUGUGCCGUGAGUUGCGUUAUAAGAGAGGAACCCUGAGCUUAAGAAGGCCCAGUAUUUUAUGCAGCAUGGUAAACACGCCUGCCCUUUGCUCCGGAAGGAGACAUGAUCUCCGUUUUCCAAGGCUGUUCUGUGUACAAACAAAUAUCAGAACAGAACAAAUAUCCUUGAAAAGAUAUUUUGGAACAAAGACAGCCAGUGCCACCGUUCACAACAAGUGCAGAAUUUUGAGAGACCCCAUGGAGAAUUAUCUCCCAACAGUUGUUGUUUGGUGG